GACUAGCAGACGGCUAUAGAGAUCUGUCUCCUUUUAGUGUGGUUGUAUUAAGGGCAAACUUGCCUCCCAUCGCACCCCAGAAAAUCCAGGAGUUCAAGUGGGGGUGCACUGUAGGAGGACUCAGCAGCUGUUUUAUGGAAGGUUCGUCAGGGAUCAGACUGAGGAUUUUGCUUUUGUGAGAACAAAGUGAAAUGUGACAUUCAGGAGCAACUCGGGGCCUAUAUAUAGGGGCCCAGGGCCUGCUGGGAUGGGGUUUUACACUUGGGCUGUCCUUUUGCCCUUCCCCUGAACUCCUUUCACUUCAGUCAUGAGCAAACAGUCAGUGCCUGAACUAACAACCCUGCAGUCCUCCGAAGCACGGCUGGCUUACAGUACCGAACAAAGGGAGGGAGUGCCGCGUGGGCCGGCCCAGGCCGAGGAAUGCGGCUUCAGGGUUCUGCUCCAUAAAUUUAACCAGCACGACGAAAAGGAGAUAAUAUGAGCCUUCGUGAUGAUCUGAAAGGGGGAGGUUCUGUGUCCCAUUGAUUGCGGUCUGGCCCAGUGCCAGGCCCAAGCCUGACCGACAGUUGAACCAUAUCGUUAAGGCGUGUAAUACAGCUCGAGUCUUGUACUGCCGCCAAUGAGUGCAUAUCCACAGGGCAAAAGUUUAUAAAGAGUCGAGGCUGUCCUGUUUAACCCUCUCACACUGCAUGUAAUAGACCCAGCUGCCAUUCAGAACUUGCCCAUCUGAGGUCAUAAAGGAAAGCCUGCACGUUUCUUUUCUUCAAACAGCUUUUCAGGACUGGGGACAGGAAGAAACGCUGUCUAGAGAAGGUCAAGGCACGGUGAUGUUUCUCUCUGGAGAAGCAAAGCAGUCUGCCUCCCUCCCCCCGGCCAGAAACGGGACACCCUAGUGCUUUCUUCAGAGUAGCUCUCUGUUUGCAGUAUAAUGUUGCUGGAGGAAAUGGAGCUGACACCACAGGAAACCUGCCCGUCUCCAAGGAGGCCGCAUCGGUGGCAGAGAUUCGGAGGAGGAGGUCCACUGCGCACUGCCGCUUCUUCACCCCCUGGGGCUUUGGAAGCAGCAGCUCUGGCUCCCCUGCACCCAGUUCUCAGUCUUGUGGUCCUGGCCGGCUCCUUUAUCACAUAUGUCUUGAGCACCCUCUCAGCACGUGGCACUCUGUUCAGAGUGCUGAGGUGCGACCAUGCUUAGAAGAGACAAGAAUCCCUGGUUCCACAUGGCUUCCCUCAACACCUACAUUUCCAGGCCGUGGCUUGGGUUAAGAAGAAUCCCCCUCCCUGGAAGAGAUGAGUGGCUGGAAGGAGAGCAUGUCGCUGGCUUCCCUGAGACCCUCCCGAGAGCCUCAGUUUCUCCCUCUACCACCUGAAAUCUUAACUGCAGGGCCUGAAACAGAUUCUCUUUAAAAA